GCCCACCCCACUGAGGAUCUCUCUCUAGCUCGCUCGCUCUCUCUCUCUCUCUCUUUCCUCUGUUAAUUCAGUUCUGGACAGCGCCGGGUACUGAUGCUGCUGCUCCUGUAGUCGCAUCUAUCCUGGGGGCCUCCUCCCACUCAUCACACCUCGAGAAUCCGCAUGUAGAGCCGCUCGGUCUCUGUCGCAGAAAAGUCUCCGCAGUACUGCAUCGGAAUAAGGGCUCAGUGCAAAAAAUUUUCUUCAGCUGUAUUCGUGGUUGUGAGUGUGGCGCUUUCUGCAUCAACGCAAAGGAAGUUCUUUUCAGUGGUGCGGUGGGUGAUGCUCUGAGAUGCGUCGCGUUUAGCGCACGGUACCCCGAUUUAUUCGCCUAGAAGGGAGAAUAGAAAACCCAACAGUGACUGAGGCGAAUUUUAACUUUGUCUGAUAUUGAUUCGGAUUUGCUUGGGAGAUCUUGAGCAUCAGGAUGUUUUGAAGGGCGCUCUCCAAACGGGUUACUGAAGAUUUCGCCUCCAACAGAAGCGCAUCCGAGGCAAAAAAGCAUCGGCUGACAGUUUGAAAGGAGGACAAGCAGUCUCUGCACAGGAUUUAAAACUACCAUCGCUUCGGCAUUUUUCUGAACCUAACGAGGAGAGAUUUUAACAGAGGGAGAGAUGAAAGUUUUUCCGGCAGUAUUGUUUCUGAUCACAUUUUGGAGUCUGGAGUGGGAGCCUGUGCUUCCCGAUUCAAUUAUUCACAUUGGGGCCAUUUUUGAUGAGUCUGCCAAAAAGGAUGAUGAGGUGUUCCGCAUGGCGGUGGCAGAUCUCAACCUCAACAACGAGAUCCUGGAGACAGAGAAGAUCACUGUGUCCGUGGAGUUUGUAGAUGGAAACAACCCUUUCCAAGCAGUGCAGGAAGCCUGCGAGCUGAUGAACAGAGGUAUCUUAGCCUUGGUCAGCUCUAUCGGCUGUAUGUCUGCGGGGUCGCUACAGUCUUUAGCUGACGCGAUGCACAUCCCGCACCUCUUCAUCCAGAGGGCAUCUGCGGGCUCUCCUCGCUCUAGCUGCCCGCCCACCAGUCGCGCCCAACCAGACGACUACACUCUCUUCGUCCGGCCUCCCGUCUACCUAAAUGAUGUCAUCUUCCAAGUGGUGAUGGAGUACACCUGGCAGAAGUUCAUUAUCUUCUACGACACUGACUUUGAUAUCCGGGGUAUAGAGAACUUCCUGGACCAGACAUCUCAGCAGGGGAUGGAUGUGUCUCUCCAGAAGGUGGAAUCCAAUAUUAACAUGAUGAUCACUGGAAUGUUCCGCACCAUGAGGGUGGAAGAGCUGCAUCGCUACAGGGACACACUGAGGCGUGCUGUGCUGUUCAUGAGCCCCGGCACAGCAAAGGCCUUCAUUACUGAGGUGGUGGAAACAAAUCUUGUGGCUUUUGACUGUCACUGGAUCAUCAUAAAUGAGGAGAUUUCAGACAUGGAUGUGCAGGAGCUGGUGAUGAAGUCUAUAGGUCGCCUGACCCUGGUGAGACAGACCUUCCCUCUCCCACAGAACUCCAGCCAGCGCUGCGUCCGGAGCAACCACCGCAUCAACACAUCCCUCUGCGACCCCAAAGACCCAAAGGCACAGAUGUUAGAGAUCACCAACCGCUACAUCUACGACACGGUGCUGCUGCUGGCCAACACUUUCCACAGGAAGCUAGAGGACAGGAAAUGGCACAGCAUGGCGAGUCUUUCGUGCAUCCGCAAGGGCUCCAAACCCUGGCAGGGUGGCAAGUCUAUGCUGGAUACCGUGAAGAAGGGAGGUGUAAGUGGUCUGACCAGCUUGCUGGAGUUUAAUGAUAACGGCAUUAACCCCAACAUCUACUUUGAGAUCCUGGGCACCAACUACGGAGAGGACCGCGGCCGUGGAGUCAGCCGGCUCGCCACUUGGGACCCCAUCCACGGACUGAACGGGACACUGACAGAUCGAAAGCUGGAGAACAACAUGCGCGGGGUGGUCCUACGGGUAGUCACUGUACUGGAAGAGCCAUUUGUGAUGGUCUCAGAAAAUGUGCUUGGCAAACCUAAGAAGUACCAGGGUUUCUCAAUCGAUGUACUGGACGCUCUGGCCAACUACCUUGGCUUCAAAUAUGAGAUCUACGUGGCCCCUGAUCACAAAUAUGGCAGCCAGCAGGCUGAUGGAACCUGGAAUGGUCUUAUAGGAGAACUGGUUUUUAAGAGAGCAGAUGUAGGUCUGUCAGCCCUGACCAUCACUCCUGAGCGGGAGAGCGUGGUAGACUUCACCACUCGCUACAUGGACUACUCCGUCGGUGUGUUGCUGAGGAAGGCGGAGAGGACGGUGGAUAUGUUUGCAUGCCUGGCCCCUUUCGACCUGUCUCUGUGGGCUUGUAUAGCCGGCACAGUGCUGCUGGUGGGCACUCUGGUGUAUCUCCUCAACUGGUUGAACCCUCCCAGACUGCCGAUGGGUUCGGUCUCCUCCACGACCCUCUACAACUCCAUGUGGUUUGUCUACGGCUCCUUCGUUCAACAGGGUGGUGAGGUGCCCUACACGACUUUGGCUACAAGGAUGAUGAUGGGGGUUUGGUGGCUCUUUGCUCUAAUAGUCAUCUCCUCCUACACGGCAAAUCUGGCUGCUUUCCUCACCAUCUCCCGCAUCGAGAACUCCAUUCAGUCUCUGCAGGAUUUGGCUAAGCAGACAGACUUGCCAUACGGCACUGUUCUGGACUCGGCCGUCUACGACCAGGUCCGCAGUAAAGGCAUGAACCCUUUCGAAAGGGACCCAAUGUACUCACAGAUGUGGAGGAUGAUCAACCGGACAGGAGGAGCCGAAAACAAUGUGGAGGAAUCGAAAGAAGGCAUCCGGAAGGUGAAGUACGGGCGUUUUGCAUUUGUGUGGGAUGCAGCUGUGCUGGAGUAUGUGGCCAUUAAUGACGAGGACUGCUCGCUCUACACCGUGAGCAACAAUGUGGCUGACAGGGGCUACGGCAUCGCGAUGCAGCAUGGCAGUCCCUACAGGGACAUCUUCUCUCAGAGGAUUCUGGAGCUUCAGCAGAAUGGAGACAUGGACAUCCUGAAGCUGAAGUGGUGGCCGCGGGACAGUCCGUGUGACCUGUACUCUCCUGUGGGCACUCGAAAGACUGGCAGCGCCUUGGAUAUCCACAGCUUUGCUGGGGUCUUCUUUGUACUAGCAGCCGGUGUGGUGCUCUCCUGUCUUAUUGCUACUGUGGAGACCUGGUGGACACGAAGGAAGGGCUCCAGAGUGCCAUCGAAGGAGAUAAGUACUCUGUGUUGAGGGGUUAAAGCGGGCGUGGGAGAGAAAUGCAAAAUGCCAUUUUUACCAUCUCACACUUCCAGGACGAUAAGGAGAUCGACCUGGAGCACCUUCAUCACCGGGUUAACAGCUUGUGCACGGAGGAUGAGAGCCCCCACAAACAGUUCUCCACCUCCUCCAUCGACCUGACGCCCCUGGACAUGGACUCCCUCCCAGCCGCCCGGCAGGCCCUGGAGCAGAUUAGUGACUUCCGCAACACUCACAUCACCACCACCACCUUCAUCCCCGAGCAGAUCCAGACUCUCAGCCGCAGCCUGUCGGCCAAAGCGGCGGCCGGCUUCGCCUUCGGGCCCGUGCAGGACCACCGGACUGGGGGGCCCUUCCGGCAGCGGGCCCCCAACGGCGGCUUCUUUCGCAGCCCCAUCAAGACAAUGUCCAGCAUCCCGUAUCAGCACACCCCGGCCCCCAACUUCAGCUACGGCAACGACCCGGACAGGGGCACCUCCAUAUAGACUGCAGGGGUUCCUGGGCCUGUGAGUUGGAAACAAAAAAGAGAUAUAUGUAAAUACAAAUGUUCCUUUUCGGUUGUCGUUUUAUCUUGGCUUUGCUCUUUGCGAUGGAGCUCAUUCGUCCCAACCGAACUCGCCGACAGGACGAGGGUGGAAUAAAAUGAUCAUUAUUGUCGUUGUGGUUUGUCGGGAGAUUUUCUCUGUGAACUAAAUGAAUUUGCCUUUUGUUUGCCACAUUCGAUUCAAAUGUUGCAAUGAUAGUAUGUUUACCUUUUUUGGAUUUUUUUUUUUUUUUUCUCGGGAAGAAAAAAAAAAAGACUCUGCCAAGUGUUUCCCAGAUCUGCAAUAACUCAGUUUGGAAGAAUCUUGUCAACUCAUCGACUGAAUUUUGCUUUGGUUGACGCCUUCAACAUGGCGCUGCUAAACUCAACCUGCUUUUCUCUGAAGCUUCACAGCGAGCGACUGUGUUUCUAAAGACCUCUCAUCCUCUCUGCCAUCUCCCUGAAGCUGAGAUCUACUUUGAGUCUUUAAACGGACACUCUGUGGAAAAGACUCUAAUGAACUUUAAAAUAAAAAAAUAAAAAAAAUUAUAAUAAUAAAGUUAUUAUACUGUGGGGUGGGGGGGUGAAACAAAUGCUACUAAAUGUCUCUUACUGACUUUAAGUAUAACAAAUCUUUAAUGCGUGGAAUGUGUCUGGUCAGAGAGUUUUAACAACAAAAAAGAAAAAAGUGUUCAGAGCUGUCUGUAGUUUUAGUUUUCUCUUUUUUUAAUGAUUAGUUUUGAAAUUGCUUCAGUGCCAUCAUCUUACAUUGAUUUGCACCAUUAAGAGUUUGUAUUCACUAGCCGUACUCCAGGAUUCGAGAAAAACAUUCUGUAGAAUAGCUUCACUGUAUAUGCCACAAUAUCGUGGCUGUGCGUCACAGAUUUUGGAAAUCAAAGAAUGAGAGGGUUUUUAAACAAAUUCUUAACAUGAGCCUUAGGAGACAGGGCUUUUUUUUUUACUUUUCAAGUGUCUGUCCUCAACCUGUUACUAUCUGAAAAUGCUGAUACGGUGGCGACUUUUGAAGGGGUUAUUUGAAAUAUAUUUCUAUUUAAUUUCGUAAAUGUUAAGGGGUACUAUUUAUCUAACUUUUUUUAAAGUGCUAAUUGUUUAAACAAGGCCAUCGAGGUGUGGUGAGAGUUUUUAAAAAAAACACGUUUCUGAGGACAGAAAACAAUCCAAUCCUUUUCACUAACAUAAACUGUAUUAAUAUUUACUAAUGUUAGUCGUUUAGAAUGAGCUUUCAGUUUGUUAUCCUCUGACUAAUUCGCAAAUGUUGUGUGUAGAGAACAGCAACAGUGUUUUGACGCAAGCAUUCUAGAUGUACUUUUCUUAAGAUACGAUUACUGAAAGACUAUAGGAGCAAUUUUAUUUAGUAUCAGUUUAAAGAUUUUUAUUUAGAGUAAAUGAAGAGACAUUAAAGUGUAUAUUUUACAUGCAGAUAAUUUUUUGUUGGAUUUAAAGAAGAUAUAGAGUAUAAUAUCUGAGUCUAUAAAGCUCAGUUAGCCACUAUCACAUUACAAGAAGUUCUCCACGGUUUCUGACAGUAAGGCAUUCCUCAUUUGACUUCAUUUUAAUUUCCAAAUCUGUCAAAAAGGAGGCAAGGUUUUUUUCCGUAAAAGAAGCAUGCAAAACCUGCUAUGCCUGUAACAUUUUUAAUUUCAUACAUAGAAUUGUACAGGAUUACAUCAUUUUCAACUGAUUAUAAUGUACAGUAUUUAAUAUAGGCCUAUUUUGUUGUAUGUGUUGCAUAUUAUUCAAAUGGAACAAACUGAGGCCUCUGUUACAAGUGGCAAAGCUUUCUGUGUAUAAUUUGUCUAAUAAACAUGUUUUCUACAGUG